GUUUUUUGUUGUUUUGAGAAUUCUAGGGUGAAAUUUGGAAUUGUUGGUGAAGAGGUUUCUAGUACAUAAGAUUUUGAUAAAUGAACCAGAUUAGUACCUGGGUAAGUGAAAUUAAUUAUGGCAGGAGUAAAGUUAUAUUUAAACUGAAAUAAUAUUGGCAGGUUUUUAAAUUAUCUUUGGAGGUUGGACUGUGAUUGAGAGCCCUCAUUAACGGCUUUAGUUUUGGUUUUAUGUAUGAUCGUUUAUUUUUAUCCUUAGGGGUUGUAAUUUUUUGUUUUUUGAUUGUAAAAAUAGAUAUUUAUCUAGUUUAUGCUAAAGAUUGUCUGACCUACAAUAUACUAAAGUGUGGAGUCUAAAUUUAGUAAUUUUUAUGAAAAUGUAAAAGACAGUAAAUUGGUUUUUAUGUCUGGUUGAAAAUUAUCAAAAAACGGCAAAAACAUUCCCUCAA
rnacentral:rRNA from 1 species